GUGCCAGCAGCCGCGGSUAAUACGUAGGUGACAAGCGUUGUCCGGAUUUAUUGGGCGUAAAGCGAGCGCAGGCGGGUCCGGUAAGUCUGAUGUGAAAGCCCACGGCUCAACCGUGGAACGGCAUUGGAAACUGGCGGACUUGAAUGUAGCAGAGGAAAGUGGAAUUCCAUGUGUAGCGGUGGAAUGCGUAGAUAUAUGGAGGAACACCAGUGGCGAAAGCGACUUUCUGGGCUAUGAUUGACGCUGAGGCUCGAAAGCGUGGGGAGCGAACAGGAUUAGAUACCCUGGUAGUCCACGCCGUAAACGAUGAGUGCUAAGUGUUGGAGGGUUUCCGCCCUUCAGUGCUGGAGUUAACGCAUUAAGCACUCCGCCUGGGGAUUACGACCGCAAGGUUGAAACUCAAAAGAAUUGACGGGGACCCGCACAAGCGGUGGAGCAUGUGGUUUAAUUCGAAGCAACGCGAAGAACCUUACCAGCUCUUGACAUCUUCUGCUAGCUUCAGAGAUGAAGCGUUCCUUCGGGGACAGAAUGACAGGUGGUGCAUGGUUGUCGUCAGCUCGUGUCGUGAGAUGUUGGGUUAAGUCCCGUAACGAGCGCAACCCUUAUUGUUAGUUGCCAGCAUUAAGUUGGGCACUCUAGCAAGACUGCCGGUGAUAAACCGGAGGAAGGCGGGGAUGACGUCAAAUCAUCAUGCCCCUUAUGAGCUGGGCUACACACGUGCUACAAUGGAUGGUACAACGAGUGGCGAGACCGCGAGGUUUAGCUAAUCUCCCAAAGCCAUUCUCAGUUCGGAUUGCAGGCUGCAACUCGCCUGCAUGAAGUCGGAAUCGCUAGUAAUCGCGGAUCAGAAUGCCGCGGUGAAUUCGUUCCCAGGUCUUGCACACACCGCCCGUCAAGGG
rnacentral:rRNA from 1 species